UCUGCGAGCUUGGGGUUGCUAUGCCAACGCUAGCUACAUGUAGCCUAGCUCAACACAGUGAAACAUGGACGUAAAGAUGAGUUUAAAAUAAAGAGAGUUCUUUUACAGGUAAAAAACUAAAGGAUUGAGGCGGAAGCAGCGACAAAGGACAACAAGAUUUUCUCCGACAACCUCGAAGGCAGCGCAUUACCUCUCUGGUCGCCAUAGCAACAAGACGCCAGAACGAUGCCGCUGCUGGUGACCGACUACUCGUGGACUCAGACGGACACGACGGUUUACAUCCACGUUCCUCUGAAGGGAGCCAGAGCUGGAGCAGUGGACGUCCUCUCGACGGACGAAUACAUCAAGGUGCAUUAUCCUCCAUACCUGUUCGAGGCCUUCCUGCUCGAACCCGUCGACGAUGAAAGAAGCUCGGCGAAGGUCGGGAACGGAGUCGCAGUCGUCAGUCUGACGAAGAGAAGCAACAACGUUUGGAAGCAUCUGAUGAUAACAACAAGCGAUAAAGAUAAAAAGAAGGAGAUCAGAGAAAGAGCCCUGUUGAAAUAUCAGGAAAAGCUUUCGUCCGAGUCCAGAUCCAAGGCCGAGAAACGGCAGGCGGAGAAAAAAUACGCCCUGGAGACAAUGAUGAAGCUCGAACAGGAGGAAAGAGAGAACAUCCAGAGGACGAAGGACGCCGAGCGAGAGAGAACCACGGCCGAGCUGGAGGCGUGGCAGCUCAGACAGAAACAAAAGGCAGAGGAGGAAGACGAAGUUCGACUCCGCCGCCGGAAGGACAAUCAGAGCAAAAUUAAAGUCGUGACGGAGAAGAGAGGAAAUGUCGGUUCGGAUGGAACCAAUGUCCCACGAGAUCAACGAGGCAGCGAAGCGAACAGCAAGAAGAACCAAGCGGACCUUCCCGCUCCGAGACGCACCGGGAACAUUCCAGUCACGUUCACCCCGAGAGUUUUCCCGACGGCCCUCAGGGAGUCCAGAGUGCCAGAGGAGGAAGAGUGGCUCAGAAAACAAGCCGAGGCCAGACGUGCCGUGAACGCAGAUGUCGACGAGCUGGAGGACCUGAAGGAGGAGGACAGGAACCCCGACUGGCUGAAGGGGAAAGGAGAUAAAUGUUUCGCGGCCGGCGACUUCCUGAGCGCGGUGAACGCCUACAACCUGGCGAUCAGGCUCAACAGGCGGACGCCGGCUCUGUAUUCCAACCGGGCCGCGUGUCACCUGAAGCUGAGGAACCUUCACAAGGCCAUCGAGGAUUCCUCUCAGGUCCGCUUCACAACCGCCUGUUCUCCACCACCACCACAAACGCUCUGGAUCUGUUGACUCCACCGGUCGCCGCCAACGCCGCCGCCAGAGCCCGAGCCCACGUCCGCCGAGGAUCCGCGUUCUGCCAGCUGCAGCUCUACGCUGAAGGACUUCAGGAUUAUCAAGCCGCUCUGAAGAUCGAGCCUCACGACGCCGCGCUGCAGGAGGACGAACGGACGAUACGAAGCGUCAUUCAAGGAACUGCAGCCGACGCAGAGACGCAGUGAGAGACACACGGAUACAUUACUGUACAUAUUAUAUAGACGUAUAUACGGAUGCUUAUUGGGUUUUUUUGUAACUUGUCUGUUACCCACUGGUUUUAAUAAAUGAUAACAGAACUAAAAGGUGAAAGUGUUCCGCGCACCAGGAAGCUCCCGAUAAAUUAUUUAAUACGAGGCCACGUUUCGAUCUGCAAGAUUUUUUCCUCAGGCGGAUUCAAGUCGACUCAAAUCAAUAUCACCUGCUGCUCAGGAAACAGCACGAGGAGAGAGAACAGAUACAGCAGAAACUCAUAGAUAAUUAAAAAAUAUAUAUAUAUAACAAUAUUUAAAAAUAUAUAUAUAUAUAUAUAUAUUUAAUCAUCAAUGAAUCCACAGACAAAUGAAACAGAGACGAGAAUCUGUGAACAGGCGUAAAAUUCUCGUAUCUGAUCAGAUUCCUGAAGACAAAAACGAGAAAGAAAUCAAAUGAAUUAUAAGAAAGAAGAAAAAUAUAUAUUUGCAUAUUUAAAUAAAAGUAAGGUAAUAGUGCUACAGUAUUACAACAUUGUACAGAAAUGAAAGAGACUUCCUCAAGUACAAUAAAAAAAAUCUCUGAUUAGAAAAAACGAUUCAAAAAGGCAAAUAAAUUUUGAUAAAUCUGAAAGGUGAAUAUCAGGAACUAUGGGAUCAGAUAUUAUCCCUGCAGGUUUCAUAACUGUAAAUGUGACAGUGAGUCACUGGAGAAUAUGAUGAAGAAUUAUUUCCAUCAGUAUGAGCAGAGCGCCCUCGUGUGGUCAAACGUUACACCUCCUGAAAUCUGCUUCUUCAAGAAUCAGUGUGAACAUGUAUUCAGUUAUUAUAAAAAUAAAAGGAAGAAAACUUAAAAUAAAAUGUUUCGGGCCACAGGAUUGGUUUAGGUUCAUGAAGACGAAUGAACAUUUUAAAAUAAGAGGUGAUCAUUUAUUAAAUUUGUAAUUUAAAAAAACUGGUCUGGUCAGCUAAUUUAACUAUUGUUUAUUCAAUUUAAUAAAUAUAUACUUUUUUAACUUUACUGUUUGUGUCUUUGGGAUAAAUAAACGUAUUUCUUAUUUA